GCCAGGCAUGGUGGUGCACACCUGUAAUCGCAGCAACUCAGGAGGCUGAGGCAGGAGGAUAGCAAGUUUGAGACCAGCCUGGGCAAUUAGCAAGAUCCUGUCUCAA
rnacentral:sRNA from 1 species